GUUCAUGCAGUGUGCAGUGUUUGAACCUGUUUCCCGAAAAAAAAGGAGAGGGAGAGAUUUGUUUGCGAAGGUAGCGUUCCUUGGUGUGUAUAGGUGUGUGGUGGUGUGCGUGACUCCCGGUGUUUGUGUUACCUUUAUUUGAAAGCCAACGAGAAGAGCGAUACAAAACGAAACUGGAGUAUGUGCAAUAAAGGUGGCAAAGAAAAGGGGCGAGAGAAAACAUAAGAAUGCGUGUGUUUCCUGCGUACAGUGGUUCAUGAAAUUGCACUUGUCGGUGCGGUGUAUCCUUUAAGUUGUAUAGUGUGUGUGUGUAUGUUUUUUUUAUUUAAAGGUGUGUUCUUUGGAAGUGUAUUUUGUGAGAAUUCAUUGAAAAGAUCGUCUACCAUGUCCGGCAGUGUAGAACGCUAGUGAACAAAACUUAGGCUGGAUACGCGGAACAACAAACGGUAGUGCCGGAAACAAUUCGCCAUGAACGUGCCACGGUGCACUCUGGCGGCAAGGCUUGCUCUGAUAGCGGUGCUUUUGCAGCUUCUGUUGCUUUGUAGCACCUGCAAUGGAUAUAUGAUAAUAGCAAGUGAAGACGACGAACCAGGGAAGAUACUGUUUAACUCUUCCGUUUACAAACUUGGAUCGGAACGGCAGUACAAAAUCAAUGCCCAUAAAUCUGCCCACUACGUGCACCAUCUGCUCCGGGUGGAUCCGGACAAUGGGCAAGUGAGCUUGAAGCGAAAGCUCAAAUGUGAUGGCAUCUACUAUCCUACACUAUUUACGUUUUACGUCGAUUCUACCUCGAACAGACUGCGUAGUAUAGACUAUUACAGUUUACCGAUAAGGAUAUUCAUCGUUGGGCGCAAUUGCUCCGACGAGGACGAAGCGGUUGCGGCUAGUUUUCGUAAGCUCUUCGAGGAGGAUGAUACCGGAUAUCAUCAUCACCAGCGACACAGACGAGAAGCAGUGUAUCGCUUAGCAACCGCGAAGGAUACUCCGUUGCCAGUGCGGGAAGACGAUGAUGCUGAAGCGUACGAGCAACGCAUGUACGGCGAGUACUUGGGCGAUCGGUUCCAUUACUAUCGUUCCGAAUAUCCGUGGUUGGCGGCUACGAGUGUCACUAACUACACGACCUUUCGCGAAGGUGACAUCCUGUUCGAUACCGUGCUUGAGAAUGAAUAUCGACACGGCAUAAUCACGCGAAAGCGCCGUGAAAUACGGGAUCUACCGGCCGAUCGAAUACAUCGCAAAAUUGCCGACGCCAAGCAGUGGAUCUCCGAAACGUACGCAUCGUAUGCCAUUCACACCACUGACAAGUGGAAACACAUUUGCCUAAAGAAGUCACAGUAUAUUAACUCGAUUGGUGCAUUUUUGCCGAAAACGGUACUACAUCACUGUACGGUUCGUUACCUAGAUGUGAACGAUGAGCGAUUCGAGAUUGAGACUCGCACAGGCGAUUUGAUCGCUACUGGAGAUCUGUGCAUACCGGAAACUCUAUGGAAGGUGAUUAUAACGUACAAUGUGCGAUGCGAUCGGAAGGAUAUCAUAGAUGCCGAUCAUCGCCUAAAGAUCGUAUACCACCACCAGGAGCUAAAUGAUACCGAUAUAGCAAAGCGCGUGCGACGAGAGUUGAGAAAUCAAAGUCCCUAUUUCGAGCAGGCAUUGUACGUGGCCUCGGUACUGGAGGAGCAACCGCCCGGCGCAAAUGUCAUUACGGUGCGCGCGCGUGAUCCGGAAGACUCGCCAGUGGUGUAUUCACUCGUUUCGUUGCUGGACUCACGAUCCCAGGCAAUGUUCAAGGUCGACUCGCGCACUGGUGUGGUGACAACCUCCUCCACCCUCGACCGUGAGCUAAUGGACGUACACUACUUUCGGGUGAUAGCAACGGAUGACAGUUUUCCCCCUCGUUCCGGCACCACCACGCUGCAGGUUAAUGUGCUCGACUGCAACGAUCAUACGCCAACGUUCGAGGCAGAACAAUUUCAUGCUACAGUGCGCGAGGGAGUGAGCGUUGGCUCGACCGUCAUUACAAUACGCGCGACGGAUCAGGAUAUAGGCAAAAAUGCUGACAUCGAGUAUGCCAUCACAAGUAUCCUCGGCGAGAACCAGGAACAAUCGGGGACGGCGGCCAACGGUAGCAACGAGGGCAAUCCAGUCGAGGGCGAUAAUAACGGCAGUUCACAAAAGUUCCGCAUCGAUGCGCGCAGUGGUACAAUAUCGACAAGAAGUGCAUUAGAUCGCGAAGUGUCGGGAAUGUACACGAUUAUGGUAAUUGCAACCGAUAUGGCAACGCCACAAUCGGAACGCAAAUCGGCCACCACGACGGUUUUGGUGAAAAUUUUAGACGACAACGACAACUAUCCGCAGUUUAGUGAGCGGACGUACACGGUGCAGGUGCGUGAAGAUCAGUGGGCAAACGAAAAUAAUGUGAUUGCCCAUAUACAAGCGUCGGAUGCGGAUCAGGGAAAUAAUGCUGCAAUUCGCUAUGCCAUAAUCGGUGGAAAUACGCAAUCACAGUUUUCCAUUGACUCGAUGAGUGGUGAUGUGUCUCUGGUGAAACCGUUGGACUACGAAAAUGUCAGGAGCUAUCGGCUGGUGAUUCGUGCUCAAGACGGAGGAAGUCCUUCACGCUCCAACACAACACAGCUACUGGUGAACGUACUUGAUGCGAACGACAAUGCACCACGCUUUUAUACCUCCCAGUUCCAAGAGGCGGUGCUUGAGAGUGUACCCGUGGGCUAUAACAUCGUGCGCGUGCAGGCAUACGAUUCCGACGAAGGAGCGAAUUCGGAGAUAACGUACAGUAUACAGAACCGCGACGAUGGGAUGCCACUAGCUGUAGAUCCACGCACUGGCUGGAUUCACACGACCAAGGCGCUGGAUCGCGAAGAGCAAAGCCGGUACAGCUUUCAGGUGGUUGCGGUCGAUGGUGGAAUCCCUCCGAAAUCGGCCAGCACGUCAGUGAUAGUGACGAUCCAGGACGUGAAUGAUAACGAUCCGACAUUUAGCCCCAAGUACUACGAAGCAAUGUUGGCGGAGGAUCAACCGCCGGGUACACCGGUAACGACAGUGACUGCCACCGAUCCUGACGAAGAUUCACGGUUGCAUUACGAAAUUACGGCCGGCAAUACGCGUGGUCGGUUUGCAAUAACGUCGCAAAACGGUCGGGGACUGAUAACCAUUGCACAGCCGUUGGAUUAUAAGCAAGAGCGAAGAUUUGCGCUUACCAUCACUGCCACCGACAGUGGCCAGCGGACGGAUACUGCGAUAGUGAAUAUAAACAUCACGGAUGCUAACAAUUUUGCUCCCGUUUUCGAGAACGCCCCCUACAGUGCUUCCGUUUUUGAGGAUGCACCCAUCGGUACAACCGUGCUGGUAGUGUCUGCAUCUGAUAGUGAUGUAGGUAUCAACGCACAAAUAACAUACCUACUGAACGAUGAGUCAGUGAAUGGACUCGGAGCGAACGAACCGUUCACCAUUAACGCACAAACGGGCGCAAUCAUAACGAACGCUAAACUGGAUCGGGAGAGUACGAGCGGAUACCUUUUGACCGUAACGGCAAAGGACGGGGGCAACCCGUCCCUGAGCGAUACAACGGAUGUCGAAAUCAGCGUGACGGACGUGAACGAUAAUGCGCCGGUGUUUAAAGUUCCGUUGUAUCAAGCGACGAUUCCCGAGGACGCAUUAAUCGGAACGUCGGUGGUACAGAUUGCAGCUACCGAUCUGGAUAUGGGGCUUAAUGGGCGCGUAAAGUAUGCGCUCGGUCAGAAGGACAUGGACGAAGGUUCAUUUGUGGUAGAUCCCAUCUCGGGCGUGAUACGCACCAAUAAAGGGCUCGAUCGUGAGAGCAUUCCGGUGUACCACCUGACUGCCAUCGCUAGUGACAAAGGUACGCCAACAAUGAGCAGUAGCGUUGAAGUGCAGAUCCGGCUGGACGAUGUGAAUGAUUCUCCGCCGACAUUUGCAUCCGAUAAGCUGACGCUGUAUGUGCCGGAAAACAGUCCAGUGGGUUCCGUGGUCGGGGAGAUAUACGCCCACGAUCCCGACGAAGGUGUGAACGCGAUCGUACACUAUUCGAUUAUUGGAGGAGAUGAUUCGAACUCGUUUUCGCUCGUCACACGACCAGGUUCGGAUCGAGCGCAGCUACUAACAAUGACGGAGCUGGAUUAUGAAUCGCCACGCAAACGGUUCGAGCUAAUCAUACGAGCAGCUAGUCCACCGCUUCGGAACGACGUUUAUGUAGAGAUUCUGGUGACGGAUGUCAAUGACAAUGCUCCCGUAUUACGCGACUUUCAAGUGAUUUUCAACAACUUCCGGGACUGUUUUCCGAGUGGAGUUAUUGGGCGUAUUCCAGCGUUCGAUGCAGACGUAACGGACAAGUUGACGUACCGAAUCCUUUCGGGAAAUAAUGCAAACCUGCUAAGAUUGAACAGCUCCACCGGUGGGUUAACAUUGAGCCCGCAACUCAACACGAAUGUACCGAAAUUUGCAACCAUGGAGGUAUCGGUAACGGACGGAAUCAAUGAGGCAAAAGCAAUCAUGCAAUUGAUUGUGCGCCUGAUAACGGAGGACAUGUUGUUCAACUCGGUAACGGUACGACUGGACGAGAUGACGGAGGAAGCAUUUUUAUCGCCGCUGCUAAGCUUCUUCCUCGAUGGGCUGGCUGCAAUCAUACCGUGUCCCAAGGAGAACAUCUUUUUGUUUUCAAUACAAGAGGACAUCGACGUAAGCGGAAAGAUACUGAACGUUAGCUUCUCUGCCCGCAGACCGGAUGUGGCGUUCGAAGAGUACUACAGUUCACAGUAUCUGCAGGAACGGAUUUACCUAAACCGAGCCAUACUGGCACGGCUGGCGACGGUGCGUGUGCUACCGUUUGAUGAUAAUCUGUGCGUACGGGAGCCAUGCCUAAACUACGAACAAUGUCUGUCUGUGUUGAAGUUUGGCAAUGCGUCUGGGUUCAUACACAGCGACACGGUUCUGUUUCGUCCGAUCCAUCCCGUCAACACGUUUGCCUGCAAGUGUCCGGAAGGAUUCACCGGCAGUAGGGAACACUAUUUGUGCGAUACGGAGGUCGACCUGUGCUACUCGGAUCCUUGCCAGAAUGGCGGAAGUUGUAUGCGCAGAGAAGGAGGAUACUCGUGCGUCUGUACCGAGCAAUACACUGGGGUUAAUUGUGAAACGUCGAUAGCCGGCUUGAAACCGUGCAUAUCAGAGGUGUGUGGCGAUGGUUAUAGUUGUCUUACCAGCGGGCAAGGCGGACAUUGGCCACCGUACACGAAAACGUGCGAGCUGAUGUCGCGAUCGUUUACGAGAAAUUCGUUCCUCACGUUCCCAGGGAUGAGGCAACGGCACCGGUUCAAUAUACGGCUAAAGUUUGCGACCGUACGCGACAGUGGGCUCCUGCUGUACAAUGGUCGCUAUAACGAGCAGCAUGAUUUCAUUGCUCUCGAAAUCAUCAACGGAAAAGUGGUAUUUUCCUUCUCGCUAGGCGACAAGGUGGAAACAGUGACGGUUAACCAGCAGCGCAAGGUGUCGGAUGGCAAUUGGCACACAGUGGAGGUGAAGUACUUCAACCGCACCGUGCUGCUUUCACUGGACAACUGUGACACUGCUACGGCACUGGCAGGCCUUGGCGAGCGGUGGAAUUGUGCGAAUCAAACGACUCUCGUGCUGGACCGAAGAUGUGCUUCGCUUGUGGAACCGUGCCAUCGAUUUUUCGACCUAACUGGCCCUCUGCAGAUCGGCGGGUUGCCGAAAAUUCCAGCCUACUUUCAGAUACGCUCGCACAGCUUUGUCGGUUGCAUCUCGGACCUGUACAUCGAUCAGCGGUAUGUGGAUCUGGGGGCGUACAUUGCCGACAACGGUACUGUGGCUGGCUGUCCGCAGAAGGCAGCAUCAUGUGCUUCGGAACCUUGCUUCAAUGGUGGCACCUGUCGUGAAGGCUGGGGAGAAGGGUGGGAGUGCGACUGUCCGGACGGUUUCACUGGUAACGCAUGCCAGGAGUCCGUUGCGUUACCGUGGCGCUUUCAUGGCGAUGGCAUAUUAAGCUUCAAUCCUUUGCUGCGUCCGAUUCAACUGCCCUGGCUGACUGCAUUUUCAUUGCGGACCCGUAAACGCGAUUCGUUCGUGAUGGAGAUACAGGUAGGGCAGAACAGCUCCGCCGUUGUUUCGCUGCGAGAUGGCAUCCUGCAAUACCUGUACAACGGUGAGCCGUUGCAACUGGCUGGUGCGGAUCUGGCCGAUGGGCGCUGGCAUCGGGUGGAAAUUAAAUGGAUGGGCACCGAGGUCUCGCUCACGGUAGACUACGGUCAGCGAAGCGGCGUGCUACCCGUGACACAAAAGAUUCAGGGUCUGUACGUCGGUAGAAUUGUGAUCGGUGGAUUGGAAGGCACGAUCGGGCAGCACUACGGAGGGCCGUCGGAAAACUUUGAAGGAUGCAUUCAAGAUGUGCGUGUCGGCGGAGUACAAUCCGUUUUGAAGCGCCCAACAGUGCGUGAGAACGUGCUUGACGGAUGUGCUUCCAAUGCAAAGUGUCCGGAGGGUUGCCCGGAAGAGUCCGUUUGUGUGAGCAACUGGGAUGAAGCGUAUUGCGAGUGUUUGCAUGGAUUUGUUGGCGGUGAGUGCAAACCAGUGUGCACAGUAAAACCGUGUUCCGAUAACGGCAUCUGUCGGGCGGAUACGGUCAACACCAAGGGUUACCGAUGCGAAUGCAAUAGCAGCUUAAGCUCCGGAGAGUACUGUGAGAACACCGUGCAACAACCAUGCCCUGCCGGGUGGUGGGGUGAACGUAGCUGUGGACCGUGCAAAUGCAACGUUAAACAAGGGUACCAUCCAAACUGCGACAAAAGCACAGGGCAGUGUUACUGUCGGGAGAACCACUAUCAACCGGUGAAUGAUACGGUUUGCUUGCCCUGUGAAUGUUAUACGGUGGGAUCGUAUGGCAAAUCCUGCAACAGCUCGGGACAGUGCGAAUGUCGCGAAGGAGUCAUCGGCAGGCGAUGCGAUUCGUGCUCCAAUCCGUACGCGGAAGUCACCCUAAACGGGUGCGAGGUCGUCUACGACGGUUGUCCCAAGUCACACUCAGCUGGUUUGUGGUGGCCUCGGACAGCGUUUGGAGAGCUAGCGGUAGAAAACUGCCCUGCCCCGGCUCGAGGCAAAGGUACUAGACGUUGCGAUCAGGUACAAAGUGGAUGGGGUGCCCCUGACAUGUUCAACUGCACAUCGGAAGCGUUUUUAGAUCUGCGAAAGCAACUAUCGCAAAUAGAGGUAGAUGGACUGGAGCUGAACACGUUUAUUUCUGUAAAAGUCGCCGCGAGCCUACAGCAGGCCUGUAUCAGUGUAGGUGGCCAGACUAGUGAGAAGGAUGGAAAUGGAUUGCGCGAUAGUAGAAUGAACGAUUUCUACACAAUUGGUUCAGAAAAGACGAUGGGCAGUUCAUCGGCGUCGCUUUGGCGAGAAGACGAUUUCGAGCUCGACUACCUACUGAACGAUGGUCAAUCGUUCGUACAAAGCAAGCUGUAUGGGGCAGAUCUAUUAAUUACCGAUCGGUUGCUGCACGAGCUAAUGCGCUACGAGGCGUACCAGCACGGGUUGAACCUUUCCCACAGCCAGGACAAGCACUACGUUCGGAAUCUGGUGGAAAGCGCCGGAGAGAUACUGGAUAGACGAUACGCGAGCGAAUGGAAAAGGGUACAAGACUUGACCGGGCGUGGACCGGAUGAUUUGGUGGAUGCGUUCAAUCAGUAUAUGAUCGUGCUGGCUCGAUCACAACACGACACUUACACAAAUCCGUUCGAGAUAGUCCACAAGAACAUGGUGCUCGGAAUGGACAUUGUAACUACCGAGUCGUUGUUCGGCUAUGAAUCGCAAAUGGUAAAGCAGCAGCAAUUCAAGCAGGUCAAAGGGCAUCCGGACCUUCAUGGGCAUCCUGCGGAAACAGUCAUCUUGCCGGAUACGAGCUCAUUUUUGCAAAACUCGCCAAAACAGAAGCAACCGUUGAUUUCGUUUCCGAAGUACAACAACUACAUCCAAGAUCGGUCCAAAUUUGAUCGUUCGACAAAGGUGCUUGUUCCGCUGGAUAUGUUGGGCAUCACCGCGCCCGACAAGAACGAGGUGGUCAAUCAAAUCGCUGAGCAUCGUGCCAUUUUUACCUACGCACAGUACAAGGAUGCGGGCGAACUAUUUCCGGCCAAUUUCGACGAAACCGUCACACGUCGCUGGGGCGUAGAAAUGCAAAUUGCCAGUAGCGUUCUAUCAAUCGCUAUCGUUACACCGGAAUUGGACAAAGAUUCCUAUACUCAACCGUUCCCAUCGUCGGGAGGACUAGAGAAGUCGGGUGGCAAUAAUCAGGUGGAAACGAUCGCUCCUCCGCCCGCGAAACCUGUACCGGAACGAACCAAUGAAAAAUUGUCGUUGAAUGAGAUUAAAAUAUCAAUUCACGAUAUGAGCGACCGGGAGGAAGGUUUAGAUACGCUGGAUCAACAUGCACCACAAGUGCCGAUGGUAAAUACGGCGGAGAAUGGCGAAGACUUCUUCCACGACGAUGAUCUUCCCGAAACGGUAGUUCUAGCACGCAGUGAACAGAUGUCCUCCAUCGAACGUACAGCAGAAACAGCAAUCCGAAAGCGGCGUAGAAGUAUUGUGUCGGCCGAUGGUGGCAUUCCCGAGUCGGCUGAGAUGGAUUCAGCUUCCCGCACGAAUUACGUUCCCCUCGGUCAACCACAUCUGAAGCAGGCGAUCAAGUUGCAGAUGUGGUUAAACAUACCCCGGAAUCGAUUUGUUUCCCGUUCCAACCCCCAGUGCGUCCGGUGGAAUACGCAUGCAAACCUUUGGACGCGCAUCGGCUGCCAGACGGAAAUACCGAACUAUGAGAUGAUCGGUCAUAAUGAUACAAUUGUGGUGAACUGUACGUGCAACCAGCUGGCAACGUAUGCGGUACUAGUAGACAUUAUCGAUCCGGAAGACAUCCCCGAACCGUCGCUACUGGUACAGAUUACCUCGUACUCAGCGUUCCUGCUUUCGUUGCCAAUCCUUUUUGCGGUAAUAGUGUCGUUGGCACUGCUACGCGGCCUGCAGACAAACUCGAACAGUAUUCAUCAGAAUUUAUUGUUUUGCAUCUUCACUGCGGAGUUGCUGUUCUUCGUAGCCAUUCAAGCACGCAGGGAUCUGCUGGACAAUGAGUUCCCAUGCAAACUGGUUGCUAUUGCGCUGCAUUACACGUGGCUGGCAGCAUUCGCGUGGACGACAGUUGAUUGCGUGCAUCUAUACCGAAUGUUAACUGAAAUGCGUGACAUCAACCAUGGACCGAUGGGUUUCUAUCAUACGAUAGGCUACGGUGCGCCCGCACUGCUUGUAGGCCUUUCUGUUGGAGUGCGUGUACAUGAAUAUGGAAACAGUAUGUUUUGCUGGUUGUCGGUGUACGAAUCGGUCAUUUGGUGGAUGGUUGGACCAAUCGCAAUCGUGUCGGUAUUCGAUCUUUUCAUCCUAUUUUUGUCGGUAAAAGCAGCAUUUACGAUCAAGGAUCAUGUGUUAGGAUUUGGCAAUCUACGUACACUGCUUUGGUUGUCAGUUGUGUCGCUACCGCUCUUGGGUAUAAUGUGGGUACUUGCAGUGCUUUCUGCGUCAGAAAAUUCGCAGCUGCUCAAUAUGCUCCUAUCAGCUGUGGUCAUUAUGCAUUCGCUCUUUUCCAUCAUUGGAUAUUGCAUUAUUAACAAACGGGUGCGUGAAAACCUGCAUAACGCGUUUCUACGCUGCAUGGGGCGCAAAGUACCGCUACUCGAGUCUUCAAUCGCCAUCAGCAAUAGCUCACAAAACGUAGGAUCCCCGAAAACACCCGGGUUCGCCGGUAGCUCUGGUGGACAGUACGAUACGGCAAGAAGAAACAUUGGAAUCAGCACGUCGAGCACCACUUCUCGCAGCACGGCUAAAACAAGCUCUAGUCCCUAUCGAAGCGAUGGUCAAUUUAGACACACAUCAACGUCCACUUCCAACUACAACAGCGACGGAGUGGCUUCGUAUAUGCGCGGACAUUACGAGGAGAGUGCACUGCGUAAGAUAAAGAAUGGUGGACAAGGACGGGACGGAGAACGUCGAAGUCACAGAAGACAUCGUCGAGAUUCCGACUCUGGCAGUGAGACUGAUGGGAGAAGUCUAGAGCUUGCCUCAAGCCACUCGAGCGAUGAUGAAGAAUCUCGCGUCGGACGCAACAGUAGUACGCAUCGUAGCACUGGAGUGUGCAGCACAUCAUACCUACCGAACAUAACCGAGCACGUUGCAACAACUCCACCAGAAUUGCACGUAGUGCAGAGUCCACAGCUAUUCCCCAACGUAACACCUACAAGAUGGCCAAAUCAAAAUGCUAACAAUUACAUGCCACCAGGAAAUGGUCGAUGGUCACAAGAAACGGCAUCCGAUAACGAGGCACAUCCACAUAAAUCUCCUACAAACGGUGGCUCGCUCCCAAACCCGGAUAUCACGGAAACGUCAUAUCUGCAUCAGAACCGCAUGAACAUGCCACCAUCGAUUUUGGAAAACAUUCAGGAAAACUAUAACAUAGGAUACUCAAACACGGACCUCCACAGUGAUCGAAAUUACAGCAACUAUGGCAAUGCGGAUAAUUAUGUCCCUCCUGCUGAUUACGCGAAGCGGUACGACUCGCAAGCAUCGGUAAAUCCUUCCAGCACUCUUCCCCAUCAUUACGCAUCGUCGGUAAACGGUAGUAGUACUGGUGGAGGAGUGCCGAUUGCCGAAGCAAGGCACACAGGCUCGAUGCAGGUCAUCAAUCAUAUGCGUGCGUACCAGCAUGAAAACCCAUACGCACUGAAAGAAUCGCUCUACGAACGGUCACGAACGCUCGGCUAUGGUACUAGUGCAGGUGGCGCAGAGUCGCCGUACCACGCAGGCCACCCUCUAACCGCUCCCAACGAUCUGUACAGCCCACCCGGAGCCAUACACGGCAUGUCAUUCAAGUCGAGUGUGCAAUCGCUACUCAAGAACGAUUAUCAACAGCAACAACGACAACAAUACAAGCACCACCAAACAGGCAACGGGGGCGAAUCAGACAGGAUGUCGGAAGGCUCUGAUAAAAAUCCGUACAAUUUUCCCUACACCGCCGAGGAGGACCAUCUAGUGCAUAAUGGUACAGCGAGAAUGCACCAUACUGGAGGGAUGGAAAAUAUUGGACACAUGGAGCAUAUCGCUUCGUCGUCGCCUUCGCCACCACAGCUGUUGAUGAGAGCCCCGGAAGGGCUUUCUGCGGCACCACUGCAAUCGAUAGGGCAGUUGAAUGGUGCUACUAACGACUGGUGUUGGGACCGUCUAAAAAUGUUAGAGUAAAACCGUAACAGCUGGAUCUGGAAAUUAUAUAACACAUCUGAAGAACAACAGCGAUCGACCUGUAUUACACCCAAUGAUGACGAUGAAACAACGGUGUAAGCCUGAAGCAGUGAAAGAGCGCAAAAUCACUGUUUUGAUUGGAUUGCGCAACGUGUGUACAUCAUCGUGCUUGUUCUCUUACGAGAAGCUCUCUACAUUAAAAUAGAUACUUCCCGCCGCAGAUCCAUUCGGUUGCAUGUAUAUUUGUGAAAAAAUGGGACUUACAAAAAAAAAACAAAAAGCAACAACUGAACAAGAAACAAAGUUUUGUAAUAUAUUUAUACUAACAAUAGCAUGAAUAUAGCCACAUGGCUCAACGAGUGGUGCUGCAUUCAUGUUUUGGAUGUAUAUAUUUAUACAGAUCGAUAUAUGAUAUACAAUGAAUGUGGUUGUAUUUUAAGUACCAGGCUAUUCCCUUACCGCUUUUGCUUUGUUUUCAAUGCAAACGAACUGACAUCCUGUUUCCUGAACGUGUGUCCUUUUUAUGCAAAAAAAGCACACACAAAAACAUCAACAGCAACUUACUCACUUAUUUGUGGAUGUUCCAAAUGUAGUUAAAACGAGCAACGCCUGAAAAGCAACUCCGAACGAAUCUCGUGCGGUAGGGUUAUUUAUGUAUAUUCGCACGCUUUACUGCAAGCAGCAGAUCGAUAAACUGAAGCCAACUGCCAUCAUCUACACGAGGGAGCAAAAUCCGACCACUGCCUUGAUUAUACUCAUUGUUAUUGCAGUUAGAGGGGAAAGGCACUCGAACCCAUCACACGCAGCAGGACCGGAGUAGACAUUAAGAAUUUGUAGCGCAAUGUGCUUUUUAUACGAUAUUUAGGUUGUUUUGAAUGCUAAAUUACUGCAGCAAUGGAAUGGUUCAGAGACAGUAAAAAACAGUAAACGGGAUUUAUUGCGAGGAAAUUGAGGUUUGAAAAUAAGAAAGCAAAAAAAAACAGAAACGAAAGUACGUUUACACACGAUUAAUGAAAGUGCCUGAAAGUAGGUGAAUUUUGUUUAGAUUUGAUUUUGAACGUGUUUGAAUGAAUUUAUGCAGCUGCAUUUUUAGUACUAAUUUAUCGUCGAUUUUAAUUUGCAACUUUGCAAGCUUGAAUGAAGCAAAACGGUGGCAAAAUUUUAGUGGAAAACAUUUAUCUAAAACAUUACCAGUGUACCAGUUUCUCGGUAUUUUAUGAAAUUUUCCAAUCCUACUCCCAGGAAUACGACCCUGUACUCGAUAUUCACUCUCUCUCUCUCUCGCUUACUAUAGGCAUUCUUCAUAAUUACAAUAUUUUUGGCUUGAGACAUCCAUAAGCCAUUAUAGCUAAGUUAAUUAACUGGUCUCCUAAUUAUGUGAAUGUCUCAGCUUAGGGAUUAUUGCAUCUCAGACGAAACAAGCUUAGUAGUGCAGCAGAGAAGUGAAUUAUUGAAGCAAUUGGGGAGGGGGGAGGGGGGGAGAAAAACUUCUACAUUCGAAAGACUUAUUGUAAUCCUUACUGCUUUAUGCCAUACAACUUAGGAAAUCCGCUAACAGAUAAAUUAUUUUAGCAACUAGACUCAACGGUAUUUGUACAACAAUAUUGAUUAAGUUCCCUUGUUCCCAUCGAACGUCAUACUCUCUUAAUUUUACCUGUUCCCAGUGGUGAUAGAGUCUAGCACGAUAUACUACACACAUUCCAUCCAAUGAUUUUAUCUCAACGCUUUAGUUUAACUAGUUAGUUUUAUCUCAACGUAGCCACCGGCGUUGUGCAGGCUCUCCUUGUAUGUAUGUAGGUGUACAAUUAAGGGCUACACAAUAAUGGGUGCUAAGCGACAUUCCAGUGAUAUAUUUUUAUACUUGAGAUUUUAAACGUAACAAAACCGCACUUUUAAGUUUACAAAUCCAUCUCUCUACACUAAGAACGGUAUAUUGUCGGUGUAUGUGUGCUUGUAUUCAGUAUAACGAUUUACGUGUUUUAACUUUACACACUGCUUUACCCGCUCAACCACACCCAAUCUCCAUUUGGGGGGGGGGGGGGAGUAGGUUUUAUUUCCUUUUCAAGUCUGCGUGCUGAAACUGUUGUGUAACCGAGUAGUUAUAUUGACUAUGUACUGCGAAAGUGAGAUUUUCUUUUUAAAUUGCUUUAGUAUAUUAGCAUUUUUUAGAUAAGAUUGAACAUGUAACAUUCCGUGUGUACUACUAACUCGACUCACAAGACGAUCAAGAGUGCACAACUAAACAAGGAAAAGAGUAAUAGUAAGACAGGCUGGCUGGAGGAGGUUGCGAUUUUAAAGCGAUUUCCACGAAACAUGAAUUAUUUUCAUGCAAAGAAGAGAUUGCAUCAAUAAAUAUGAAUGAAUAUGUGACGAUA